GUGCUAAUCUGCGAUAAGCGCCGGUAAGGUGAUAUGAACCGUUAUAACCGGCGAUACCCGAAUGGGGAAACCCAGUGUGAUUCGUCACACUAUCAUUAACUGAAUCCAUAGGUUAAUGAGGCGAACCGGGGGAACUGAAACAUCUAAGUACCCCGAGGAAAAGAAAUCAACCGAGAUUCCCCCAGUAGCGGCGAGCGAACGGGGAGGAGCCCAGAGCCUGAAUCAGCAUGUGUGUUAGUGGAAGCGUCUGGAAAGGCGCGCGAUACAGGGUGACAGCCCCGUACACAAAAGCGCAUGUGCUGUGAGCUCGAUGAGUAGGGCGGGACACGUGGUAUCCUGUCUGAAUAUGGGGGGACCAUCCUCCAAGGCUAAAUACUCCUGACUGACCGAUAGUGAACCAGUACCGUGAGGGAAAGGCGAAAAGAACCCCGGCGAGGGGAGUGAAAAAGAACCUGAAACCGUGUACGUACAAGCAGUGGGAGCACCCUUUGGGUGUGACUGCGUACCUUUUGUAUAAUGGGUCAGCGACUUAUAUUCUGUAGCAAGGUUAACCGAAUAGGGGAGCCGGAGGGAAACCGAGUCUUAACCGGGCGUUAAGUUGCAGGGUAUAGACCCGAAACCCGGUGAUCUAGCCAUGGGCAGGUUGAAGGUUGGGUAACACUAACUGGAGGACCGAACCGACUAAUGUUGAAAAAUUAGCGGAUGACCUGUGGCUGGGGGUGAAAGGCCAAUCAAACCGGGAGAUAGCUGGUUCUCCCCGAAAGCUAUUUAGGUAGCGCCUCGUGAAUUCAUCUCCGGGGGUAGAGCACUGUUUCGGCUAGGGGGCCAUCCCGGCUUACCAACCCGAUGCAAACUGCGAAUACCGGAGAAUGUUAUCACGGGAGACACACGGCGGGUGCUAACGUCCGUCGUGAAGAGGGAAACAACCCAGACCGCCAGCUAAGGUCCCAAAGUCAUGGUUAAGUGGGAAACGAUGUGGGAAGGCCCAGACAGCCAGGAUGUUGGCUUAGAAGCAGCCAUCAUUUAAAGAAAGCGUAAUAGCUCACUGGUCGAGUCGGCCUGCGCGGAAGAUGUAACGGGGCUAAACCAUGCACCGAAGCUGCGGCAGCGACACUGUGUGUUGUUGGGUAGGGGAGCGUUCUGUAAGCCUGUGAAGGUGUGUCGUGAGGC
rnacentral:rRNA from 1 species